UCUGCUGGACUUCGGAGAAAUGAUGCCUUCAUCUUUGUGCCGCUGCUGCUGCUGCAAACUGCUGCAUGUCUGGAUCGGUUCUGCAGUUUUAAUCAAUCAGAUCCCUGUUACGCAACUCUGGGACACAAACUCAAUCUGCUGAUGGUGCUGGAUGCUAGUAAAUAUCACCUGCAGUUAAAAAAGAGAAUAAACAACACAGCAGAUGAUCCACUUUGUAGAGUAAAGAAUGACAGGAUGAGGAUGAGUGAAUGUGAUCUUUAUAAGAACAGACCUGAAGUGACAGUCAUUAAUGGGAUUCUGAUAAUAAACCGUGUGAUCAGAACAGAUUCAGGGAAUUACAGAUUAACUCUCUCUGACUUAAAUGGCACAGAAACAUCUAGAGAUCUUCAGGUGAUUGUUGAAGAUCAUCCAGUGGCUCUGAUCGUUUUGGGAUGUCUUGCUGUAAUUCUUAUUGUUCUGGUCAUCAUCUCAUAUUACGUUUACAAGAAGAGUCAGCUCAAACCCACAAGUCAGUCUUGAGUUCAUGAACCUACAGUAUUAUAUUAUUGCCUUUAUCACUUUAUUCACUUAUGUUUGUCCUCUUUGUAAAUUAGAUUGGAUUAAAGCAUCCU